AAUGUUUGACGCCGUUGACUUUUUUAAAAAUGUUUGACCGUUCGUCUUAUUCAAAACAUUUAAGUAACUAUUAAUUCUUUUUCUAUCAUUUGAUUUAUUAUUAAAUAUAUUUUUAUGUAUAUAUAUAGUUUUACACAUUUCACAAAAGUUUUUAAAUAAGACGAACGGUCAAACAUGUUUAAAAAAGUCAACGGCGUCAAACAUU
rnacentral:pre_miRNA from 1 species